UCCAGACUCCUACGGGAGGCAGCAGUGAGGAAUAUUGGUCAAUGGCCGGAAGGCUGAACCAGCCAAGCCGCGUGAGGGAGGAAGGCGCAGAGCGUCGCAGACCUCUUUUGCCGGGGGACAAAAGGCCGGACUCGUCCGGUCCUGAGGGUACCCGGAGAAAAAGCAUCGGCUAACUCCGUGCCAGCAGCCGCGGUAAUACGGAGGAUACGAGCGUUAUCCGGAUUCAUUGGGUUUAAAGGGUGCGCAGGCGGGCCUUUAGGCCGGGGGUGAAAUCGGGGGGCUCAACCCCGACAAGCCGUUGAAACUGGCUUGCUAGAGUGGGCGAGAAGUAUGCGGAAUGCGUGGUGUAGCGGUGAAAUGCAUAGAUAUCACGCAGAACUCCGAUUGCGAAGGCAGCAUACCGGCGCCCAACUGACGCUCAGGCACGAAAGCGUGGGUAUCGAACAGGAUUAGAUACCCGUGUAA
rnacentral:rRNA from 1 species